UUGAAUUUUAUAUUUAAGUUAAAAAGCUUAAAUUUUAUAAAAAGACGAGAAGACCCUAUAGAGUUUAAUAGGUUUAUGUUACAUUUAUUUAUGGAUUCUAAUUUAAUUGUUUCUUAUUCUAUUUGGUUGGGGUGACAUAAGAAUUGAAUAAACUUCUUAUUAUAGUUACAUUGAUUAAUGAAUAAUUGAUCCUAUUAUUUGGAUUAUAAGAAUAAAUUACCUUAGGGAUAACAGCGUAAUCUUUUUGAAGAGCUCUAAUCGAUAAAAGGGAUUGCGACCUCGAUGUUGGAUUAAAAUUAAACCUUGGUGCAGAAGCUAGGGAUUUU
rnacentral:rRNA from 1 species